rnacentral:rRNA from 1 species
GUGGGGAAUAUUGGGCAAUGGGGGAAACCCUGACCCAGCGACGCCGCGUGAGGGAAGAAGGCCUUAGGGUCGUAAACCUCUGUUGUGUGGGAAGAAGAGCGUGACGGUACCACACGAGGAAGUCCCGGCUAACUACGUGCCAGCAGCCGCGGUAAUACGUAGGGGACGAGCGUUGUCCGGAUUUACUGGGCGUAAAGGGCGCGUAGGCGGGCAUUUAAGUCAGCUGUGAAAUGGUUUGGCUUAACCGGAUCAUGCGGUUGAAACUGGAUGACUGGAGUGCUGGAGAGGCAAGUGGAAUUCCCAGUGUAGCGGUGAAAUGCGUAGAUAUUGGGAAGAACACCGGUGGCGAAGGCGACUUGCUGGCCAGCAACUGACGCUGAGGCGCGAAAGCCAGGGGAGCAAACGGGAUUAGAAACCCGGGUAGUCC